ACUACUGCUUGGCAUGGUUGUCAGUAUGUCAAGAUGAUUCAAGUAGACGACCUAAAUCAAAAAGUGGAAUAAGAUAGAAUAUCAGAAAUAUAGGCUGCCGGGUGGUUUAAGGGUGAUUAUAUAUACAAGAGUCCAAUGACAGUACUGUUUAAGAAAUUUUUUUUAUGGAUAAUCUUGUCUAUAUCUCAAGCUUUCAUACAAGGAGAUUACUUGUCAC
rnacentral:lncRNA from 1 species